UCGAGCGGGCGUAGCAAUACGUCAGCGGCAGACGGGUGAGUAACGCGUGGGAACGUACCUUUUGGUUCGGAACAACACAGGGAAACUUGUGCUAAUACCGGAUAAGCCCUUACGGGGAAAGAUUUAUCGCCGAAAGAUCGGCCCGCGUCUGAUUAGCUAGUUGGUAGGGUAACGGCCUACCAAGGCGACGAUCAGUAGCUGGUCUGAGAGGAUGAUCAGCCACAUUGGGACUGAGACACGGCCCAAACUCCUACGGGAGGCAGCAGUGGGGAAUAUUGGACAAUGGGGGCAACCCUGAUCCAGCCAUGCCGCGUGAGUGAUGAAGGCCCUAGGGUUGUAAAGCUCUUUUGUGCGGGAAGAUAAUGACGGUACCGCAAGAAUAAGCCCCGGCUAACUUCGUGCCAGCAGCCGCGGUAAUACGAAGGGGGCUAGCGUUGCUCGGAAUCACUGGGCGUAAAGGGUGCGUAGGCGGGUCUUUAAGUCAGGGGUGAAAUCCUGGAGCUCAACUCCAGAACUGCCUUUGAUACUGAAGAUCUUGAGUUCGGGAGAGGUGAGUGGAACUGCGAGUGUAGAGGUGAAAUUCGUAGAUAUUCGCAAGAACACCAGUGGCGAAGGCGGCUC
rnacentral:rRNA from 1 species